rnacentral:rRNA from 1 species
GAUGAACGCUGGCGGCGUGCCUAAUACAUGCAAGUAGAACGCUGAAGGAGGAGCUUGCUCUUCUGGAUGAGUUGCGAACGUGUGAGUAACGCGUAGGUAACCUGCCUGGUAUCGGGGGAUAACUAUUGGAAACGAUAGCUAAUACCGCAUGACAACAGUUAUUCCAUGUUAACUGUUUAAAAGUGGCAACUGCUCCACUACCAGAUGGACCUGCGUUGUAUUAGCUAGUUGGUGAGGUAACUGCUCACCAAGGCGACGAUACAUAGACGACCUGAGAGGGUGAUCGGACACACUGGGACUGAGACACGGCCCAGAAUACUACGUGAAGCAGAAGUAGGGAAUCUUCGGCGAUGGACGGCAGUCUGAUCGAGGAACGCCGCGUGAGUGAAGAAGGUUCUCGGAUCGUAAAGCACUGUUGUAAGAGAAGAACGAGUGUGGGAGUGGAAAGUUCACAAUGUGACGGUAUCUUACCAGAAAGGGACGGCUAACUACGUG